rnacentral:rRNA from 1 species
UACGAAGGGGGCGAGCGUUGUUCGGAAUUACUGGGCGUAAAGGGCGCGCAGGCGGCUCUGAAAGUCAGAUGUGAAAGCCCCGGGCUUAACCUGGGAAUUGCAUUUAAUACUCUGGAGCUUGAGUACGGGAGAGGAGAGUGGAAUUCCCAGUGUAGAGGUGAAAUUCGUAGAUAUUGGGAAGAACACCGGUGGCGAAGGCGGCUCUCUGGACCGUAACUGACGCUGAGGCGCGAAAGCGUGGGGAGCAAACAGG